CGGUAAUUCCAGCUCCAAUAGCGUAUACUAAAGUUGUUGCAGUUAAAAAGCUCGUAGUUGGAUUUCUGCGGGGACGGAGCGGCCGGUCGCAACUUGCGACUCGAGCUAGCGCUUUCCCCGCAUCCUGCCGCGAACCGUGCUACCAUUAGUUUGGUGGCGCUGGGGAUCGGCUCGAUUACUUUGAGAAAAAUAGGGUGUUCAAAGCAGGCCACACGCCUUGAAUAAGUUAGCAUGGAAUAAUGACUAAGGACUUUGGUUCUUUUCGUUGGUGUUCGGGACUGAAGUAAUGAUUGAUAGGGACAGUUGGGGCGGUCCGUAUUCCAAAGCGAGAGGUGAAAUUCUUAGACCUUCGGAAGACGAACAGCUGCGAAAGCGUUCCGCAAGGAUGUUCCCUUUGAUCAAGAACGAAAGUUGGGGGAUCGAAGACGAUCAGAUACCGUCGUAGUCUCAACUAUAAACUAUACCAGCUAGGGAUCGGCCAACGUUUAAUUAUUCGACUUGGUCGGCACCUUAUGAGAAAUCAAAGCAUCUGGGUUCCGGGGGGAGUAUAGUCGCAAGGCUGAAACUUAAAGGAAUUGACGGAAGGGCACCACCAGCCGUGGAGCCUGUGGCUUAAUUUGACUCAACACGGGGAAACUUACCAGGUCCGGACAUAGUAAGGAUUGACAGAUUGAUAGCUCUUUCUUGAUUCUGUGGGUGGUGGUGCAUGGCCGUUUUUAGUCGGUGGAUGUGAUCUGUCUGCUUAAUUGCGUUAACGGACGAGACCCCAGCCUGCUAAAUAGCGCGGCCGAGCUUUGCUCGGUGCGAGCUUCUUAGAGGGACCAUGAUGCGCGAUAGCACAAGGAAGUUUGGGGCAACAACAGAUCUGUGAUGCCCUUAGAUGUUCUGGGCCGCACACGGGCUACACUGGCGCCUGCAACGAGCAUAUCAGCUGGCCCGAGAGGGUCUUGGCUAAUCUUUGGAACCGGCGCCGUGCUUGGGAUUGACCAUUGCAAUUGUUGGUCAUGCAACGAGGAAUGCCUUGUAAACGCGAGUCAUCAGCUCGCAUUGAAUACGUCCCUGCCCUUUGUACACACCGCCCGUUGCUCCUACCGAUGAAUGUUCCGAUGAAAUUUUCGGAGAGCACCAGAGAACGGGGCUCCGCCUUGCAGAACUGGAGGCUCAAAGUCACUUAAAUCUGAACAUUUCGAGGAAGGAGAAGUCGUAACAAGGUAGCCG
rnacentral:rRNA from 1 species